GAUCUGAGCGAAGAAGACCGCCAGGAUCAUCGCCAGGACCGUCACCAGGUACACCUGACGCCAGUACUGCCGGGGACAAGAAGGUCAAAGGUCAAAUCAUGCUGCAGUUACAGGUUCUUGCUCAGCUGAGAUGAACUUACAUUAUUGCAGUAGAAGGUGUAGAAGACUCCGGGGACGUAGCAGCCCAGGAUGCCGAUGGAGACACCGGCGUAAUCCAGCGCCAUCCAGCGGCGGCUGGUCUUCUCUGAGCGAUGGCAGCAGAACAGGUGGUAACCCACCGAGCACAGCAUGCACAGCUGAGGAGCGAUCAGGUCUACUUGUUCAGCUCCUGCAGCUUCGACAGAGAUACCACCAUCACCUUACAGACCAACAGGUGUCACCACUUCUUCCAUGACAUUAUCCACGAUUGCCAAGACGACAUCCAUGAUCACAGAGACAUUGUCGAGGAUGAAGGAGAUAUUAUCCAUAAUCUCGGAGAUGAUGUCUGUAAUCACAGAGAUGUAGUCCACGAUUGCAGAGAGUCUUCAUACAAUCAAGAAGUUCUUUGAGAAGAUCAAGGCCUCCUGGAGGAGAAGAUCGCAUCACCUGAAGAGGACAACGAAAGUAGUUAAAUGUUAUUAAAGAUGUUUAGAGAUGUAUAAGUCUUUAAGUUUAUCCUUAUGCUCAUCACUACAUUAAAUGUGGGGUUAGAGAAUAAAAAAAUGUGUCCUCAAGUGCUCAAAUGUUUGUCAUUUGCUGUGGUUUGUUAAAUAUUGUC